rnacentral:rRNA from 1 species
GUCCACGCCGUAAACGAUGGGUACUAGGUGCCUGGGGGAGCGACCCUCUGGGUGCCGGCGCUAACGCAGGAAGUACCCCGCCUGGGGAGUACGACCGCAAGGUUGAAACUCAAAGGAAUUGACGGGGGCCCGCACAAGCGGUGGAGCAUGUGGUUUAAUUCGACGCAACGCGAAGAACCUUACCUAGGCUUGACAUGCAGGAGCAAGCUCUCAGAAACGAGAGCCCCUCUUCGGAGAUCCUGCACAGGUGCUGCAUGGCUGUCGU